rnacentral:ncRNA from 1 species
ACAGGCCCGGUGCGCGCAAGGGUCCCCGCCCCCGGUCGAGAAGAUGCGCGCCGCACCUGCCCCCGUCGCGGGGCCGGGGAAGCCGUUCGAGCAGCGUCGUGUCGCGGUCCGGGACUGUCCUCAGUCCCGGGUCGUCUCGGCGCGGUUCCGAGCGGUCGCUCCCUCGCGAGGUGCCGCGGGUCAGCGGCUGACGCCAGCCACCUUCCCGACCCGUCUUGAAACACGGACCAAGGAGUCUAACAUGUGCGCGAGCCGCGGGGCAGUACGAAACCCGUAAGGCGAAAUGAAGGUGAACGCCGGCGCGGUCCGGCGGAGGUUGGAUCCCGUCCCGUCGGGGCGGGCGCACUACCCGCCGAUCUUCUCCGCCCUGUCGGCGAGGUCGAGCGAGAGCGUGCAAGUCGGGACCCGAAAGAUGGUGAACUAUGCCUGAGGAGGUUGAAGCCAGAGGAAACUCUGGUGGAGGACCGUAGCGAUUCUGACGUGCAAAUCGAUCGUCAAAUUUGGGUAUAGGGGCGAAAGACUAAUCGAACCGUCUAGUAGCUGGUUCCCUUCGAAGUUUCCCUCAGGAUAGCUGGCGCUCUGUCGCAGUUUUAUCUGGUAAAGCGAAUGAUUAGAGGUCUUUGGGGGCGAAACCCCCUCAACCUAUUCUCAAACUUUAAAUUGGUAAGAAGCCCGACUCGCUCGUUUGGAGCCGGGCAUGGAAUGCGAGUGCCAAGUGGGCCAC